GUGCUCGCUUCAGCAGCACCUAGGCUAAAAUUGGAAUGGUGCAAAAAAGAUUAGCAUGGCCCCGGCGCAAGGAUGACAUGCAAAUUCGUGAAGUGUUCCAUAUUUUG
ensembl:snRNA U6 U6 spliceosomal RNA